UACGUAGGUGGCAAGCGUUGUCCGGAUUUAUUGGGUUUAAAGGGUGCGUAGGCGGCUUUGUAAGUCAGUGGUGAAAUAUGGCAGCUCAACUGUCAAGGUGCCAUUGAUACUGCGGAGCUUGAGUACAGAUGAGGUAGGCGGGAUUGACGGUGUAGCGGUGAAAUGCUUAGAUAUCGUCAAGAACACCUAUAGCGAAGGCAGCUUACUAGGCUGUAACUGACGCUGAGGCACGAAAGUGUGGGGAUCAAACAGG
rnacentral:rRNA from 1 species